rnacentral:lncRNA from 1 species
GUAACUGCAGUAGUGCCUGACAUCUUGGAGCAACAAAGCAGAGGACUCCAGGCUAUGAGGGGAAAUUCUUUCUUAGUGUUUGGAAAAGCAAGUUUUCCAUAGCUUAAAUUUUGCAAUAACAGGAGGCCUUUUGAGUCCAAUGAAUAUGGCAACUCUUUGGAGAAAUAUAAAUUGAUCUCACAGUGCACAUUAUAAAAGCCCAUUUGUCUCUAAAUGGGUUCACGUGAGACAUAGUUUAUUCCACAGGUUAACUUUCUAAAUUAAACCCUUCUCUAAAGUCAAAACACUAAGAAGAACCAGGCUUCAUAAACGAAUAAAGGAUUUUUUCACUAAAUAACAAAAACAGCAUAAAGUUGAAAGGUCCACUGGGCAGAUCCAAAAUGUGGGAACAAUUCAUAAUUGAGGGCCUAAUGUUCCAUUUUUAAAAAAGUCUCUUUGAGGUAUCAUCAGACAAACUUAAAAAUUCUCCACCGCUGGCCAUUUCCAAGUACAGAUGCCAAUUUGACCACACAUUUUAAACAUGUGUCUGGAGAAUUUUAUGUAGCUCCUUUUACAAACUUAAAGAGAAAUAUAUUCUCUGUUACCAAGAAAAUUGGUCUAUUGGGAGGAUUUAGAAAUGGAAAAAAUGUAGAAAAUAAUCCGCAAGUAAAUACGAAGGCAGUUUCUAUUUGUAUCUAUGCCUGCGCUGGUUAUAAGUUAGGCUCUUUUGAAGACUACACAUACACAUUAAGCAUAAAUGCAUUUUGGAAGAAAGAUAAGAAGAAAGAAGCCAUCACUAGAGGAUGGCAUAAGAAGAAAUCAAAGCCAUCUCACUGAGCAGUUGUGGCUAAAGCGUAUCUUCAGCUAAGACUGCUAUGUGGUGAGCCCUGCCCUGUAAAAAGGCAUAUUGAUGGCCACUCAAAGGGACAAGAAAUCAUAAACCAAGAUGAUGAUGGUGGAGCUCAAUUGCAACCAGAGACGUAUGUUUUCCAUAUACACAUAGAAGAGAGAAUGGGAAUUUCAAAAUGAGCAAGGUCGACUGUUGUUGGAAGAUAAAAAUAACCCACUGCGACUGUGGACCAGACUUAUAGGAGUUGGUCCAUGACUAAGACCACAGGUUGGCAGUGGCAAAGGGCAUUCAGCCUGUAGGCACAAGGCCAUGCCCCCAGCACCACAGCUCCUGGAGUAGGAAGGGUGACUGAGGCAGUGACAGAUGAUGCCUCUGAGUCUCAGAAAGGAUAAGGGGCCUGCUGCAAAGCGUUUAGUUCAUUGAUGGUGGAGCCAGGCUAGAACCCUGUCUCCUCACCCCCACUCUGAUGUUCCCUCCGUUGAACAACACCAACUCUCUGAAAUCAAUAGGCACAGAUCAACUAUUGGAAUGUCAUCAGGAACUAGUCUUCUGGAAACUGUAGGAAAUCUGAUAUGGAUAGAAGAGGAACUCACAGAUCAGAGCAUCUAUGUUGUCCCAAUUUCCAACUGCUAAAUGAAAGAGCCUUGAGAAGCACCCUGCGUUUGUAUAUGGCUAUUGAGACACAGACUGAAGUAUUUUGGGGUGAAAGGCCAUAAUAUCUACUUCUUUCAAGUGGUUCAAAGACAACAACAAAAGAGGUCUGAGUUCCAAGGGGAGGAAUGAUUUCACUGAACUGGAAGUUAAAACUGCUGCCCAACCAUGGUGGACUCCUUGUGUCUCUGAAAUAACAGGCAAAGAGGGGAGUUACUGUGCUGGCUGGAGUGACUGAUCCUGACUACAAGGGGAAAUUGCACUGCUACUCCACAAUGGAGAGUCGUUGUACCACGUUACAUGCUUACCAGCAGAACCUGAGAAUUCCAGUUCCUUCACAUUAGUAAGAUUCCUGCUCUUGCAGUUGGAAAAGGCCGGGACAGAGAAAGAGGAUUCUGCUAGGGGCAAGACGAAGAGCAGGGUCAGCAAACAUUGCUGCCCAGAGAGAGGCAAGAUGUGGUCAUAAGAAAAAGGGCACAUUCAUAGAACACAUAUUCACAAAGAAUAUAUUCUCAAGGAAAACGACCUUUUUAUAAAUACAUUCUUCUUAUAAAUAAGAAGCUACCCCCAGCUUCCUCCUUUGUUCCCCACACAUUUUGCCCCAUUUCUUCUCUUCUCUGUAGUCUCCUUCCUCGCUGGGAGGGCUGCGCUGUGUGCUUACCCUGCUCCCUGUCUCUUCCCAAGUAGUCAUUCAUCCCUGCUCCCUCCAGCGCCCUAGCAAGGAGCUGGGGCAGAGACAAACCCGAUGCUCCUUCGAAUGCUAUUAGGGAGACAAAAUGAAAACUAGCCCAUUAGAACUAAGUAGUGACAAGAAAUAGUAAAUUCAUAGAAGCGGUUAUGCAGUGAAUCAGACUCAUUUCCUCCGGGCCCCUGCUCACAUGACUACUUUUCUACAAAGCCUUCUCUGACUCUCCUUGGCAGGUCCCAUUACACCUUGUUCACACCUCUAUUACAUUGCUUAGAAGUGACAUGAAAAUAGAAGCAUUCUAUCUUAGUUACUUGACUUCAUAAGUAGUCCAAUUUCUAGACUGUUUAUCCCUUUAACAACUACUUAAUAAACAAAAAUGUCUUCGUUAAACAGACAUUUGUGGGGAGGGGGGCAAAAUGGGUGAAGGGGGUGAAAAGGUACAAACUCCAGCUAUCGAAUAAAUGUCAUGGGGAUGUAAUGUACAGCAUGGUGACUAUAGUUAGUAAUACUGUAUUGCAUUUUGGAAGCUGCUAAGAAAGAAAGUAGAUCUUAAAAGUUCUCAUCACAAUAAAAAACAUUUUGUAACGAUGUAUGGUGAUGAAUGCUAACCAGACUUAUUGCGGUGAUCAUUUUGCAGUAUAUAAAAAUACCAAAUCACCAUGUUGUACACCUGAAACUAAUAUAAUGUUAUACGUCAAUUAUACCUCAAUAAAAAAAUUUCUAAAUAAAAC